AGGAAAAUAACACAACGCAACGCAACGUGAGACGUUAUCACCCAUCAUCAUCAUCCAUCGAUCAUCACCAUCUAAAAACCAUGCAAAGCAGGAAUUUUUUUGAAGACUGACAAGGAAACAUGGUGAAGUCACUCUCCUUUGUUCAUCAACCCUAAACUCACUAUUCUCCUCCACUCUCUCUUCAUCCACGUCUUCCAAGAAUAACAAAAUUGCGUGCUCAGCAAACAUCAAGAACCAGAUAAUAUCGUCUCUGUCAUGGAACAGACGAGAACUGUCUCUUGGGUUUAUGAUCAGCUUUCUUGCGUCUGGUCUCGUGGAGAGCUUCUGGAGAAAGUGAAGCAAGAUCGGAAAAAGAGGAUUGAGCGACGAGCUGUUCUUAACUCUGCUGUCAAUGAAAAGGGGUAUUUGCAGGAUCUUGUUUACAAGUUAAGCAAAGUAGGACAAGCCAUUGAGAACAAUGAUCUGGAAGCUGCAUGUUUGGUCUUAGGGAAAGGCAUUGAUACCGGAUGGGUCAAAACCGUUAAUUUGGCUUUCACAAAGCUCUUUUUCUUUCUCCUUUUUUUUUUUUAACUCACAAUGGUCAAAUGGAUUGAUUAUAUUUAUAUUCAACUGGUUCUCUCUCUGCAUAAGGUAGAUUUUCUUUUUACGGUUUAGUCAAGCUCGUUCUUUGUGUUGUAACGACAGCUGAGUGCAAGCCCGGAAGAAAAUACAGAGGUGGAAAGUGGAAACAUUUAAUUCAUCUUUAGCUUCUCUUAUUACAUCAGUGAACAAGAACGAUAGAGAGUCAUCUAAGCUCGCGUUUGUGUCAUCGGCUAGUGCACUUGAGAAAUGGACGAGCUUGACAGGUCUUUUGGGACACCUUAAAGGAAUAUGAUAGGCUACCUUACAAAAUUGUCUUUAUUUUUCUACGGAUGGUCAACAAAAGAAGAGUAGAAACAAACAAAAAAAUAAUCCUUUGA